rnacentral:rRNA from 1 species
CAAUAGCGUAUAUUAAAGCUGUUGCGGUUAAAAAGCUCGUAGUUGGAUUUCUGUCAAGGACAACUGGUCCGCCCCUCGGGUGAGCACAUAGUUUGGUCUUGGCAUCUUGUUGGAAACUGUUGCUGCACUUGGUUGUGUGGCGCAGUGUCCAGCACUUUCACUUUGAGGAAAUUGGAGUGUUUCAAGCAGGCACAUGCCUUUGGACACAGUAGCAUGGAAUAAUUAGAUUGGGCUUUUGCUCCAACUUGUCGGUUUCUGGAGCUGAGGUGAGAAUUAAUGAGGAUUGUUGGGGGCAUCCGAAUUUAGCCGUCAGAGGUGAAAUUCUUGGAUCUGCUAAAGACGGACAACUGCGAAAGCGUUUGCCCAGGAUGUUUUCAUUGA